CUAGGUUUUCCUAUUUUUCCAAAAUCGUCGCCUUCUUCUUUAGCAGAUGAGAGUGAAAAAGCAGAAGCGGCAUAGGAGGGCUGUGAGGUUUUACACAGCUUGUUUCGGGUUUAGAGAUCCAUUUAAAAUCCUUUGUGAUGGAACAUUUGUGCAUCAUCUUAUUGUUAAUCGCAUAACACCUGCUGAUACUGCGUUGGCAAAUAUUCUAGGCGCCACAGUUAAACUUUUUACGACCAGAUGUGUUCUUGCAGAAUUGAAGAGCCUUGGUGCUUCCUAUCGGGAAUCACUGAAUGCAGCUAAUAUCCUUUUUACUGCACGAUGUGAUCAUGAGAAUCGUAAAAGUGCUGUAGAUUGCAUAACUGAAGUUAUUGGGGAGAACAAUUCUGAACACUUUUUUGUUGCUACUCAAGAUGCUGACUUGCGGAGAAAUCUUCAAAAGAUACCUGGUGUGCCUCUAAUUUAUGCUCUAAGGAAUGCCUUAUUUCUCGAACAACCAUCGCCAUUUCAGCGUCAGUUUGCCAAAUCUGCUGAAGAAGAACGUCUUCAUAUGACUGACUUGGAGUACAAUAUGCUUAGUCAUAGGAAAAAAAGGAGAUUGUCUGAUGACCAAGAAGGGGAUUCUUCUGAUGCACCAGAGGAAGAGGUGGAUGAUUUUUCACAGGUUCAGACUAUCAAGAGGAACGGAAGUGAUGUCAAGGAUAAAGUUCGCUUCAAGAGAAAGAAAGCUAAGGGUCCAAAUCCACUCUCAGUCAAGAAGAAAAAGAAAUCUUCAGAUACAAAUGUUUCUUCCUUGGGAAAGGAAAGUAAGAAUGUCGAGGGAACUGUGAGAAGCAGGAAGAAAAGGAAGAGGUCGCGCAACAAAACUGUUGUAGAAGGAAAUGUUAAGUGUUGAAGGCAUCCACUAAGAAAUCUUCGCCCGACUGGUUUUGUAAUAUCAGGAGGAAUUUUGAGAGGAGAACACCAAGGAUCUAUUGCUAAUGUAAUCAAUUUUGAGAAUGGAUUUGGUCCAGGAAAGGGUCCCACCACGAGGGUGUAUUUGUACGCAGCCUUACCUUGCAUUUCUGUCAGCGGUUGUUUUCAAGACUUGAACCCGUGACCUCCUUGUCACAUGGCAUCAACUUUACUAGUUAUUUCAAGGCUCCCCUUCCUGCACAGGAUUCGAGGAUGGGUCGGGUCGGACCUAGUAUACUUCUAUAAUGAAAUUGUGUUAAUGUCAGUUCAUUACAUUUGGAAAUUAAACACUAAUCUAUCUUCAAAUCUUAGAGGCCAUUGAUAAAGUCGCCGUCACGUGACUAGGAGGUUACAGGUUUUGAGUCGCGGAAACAACUUUUGAUAGAAAUACAAGGUAAGACUGCGUAGAAGCGCCCCAUUUGGUUUGAUCUUUUUUUGAAUCUUGUGCAUAGUAGGAACUUUAGUGCAUCGCGAUACCCCAACCUUCAAAA